rnacentral:rRNA from 1 species
GAUGAACGCUGGCGGCGUGCCUAAUACAUGCAAGUCGAGCGAACAGACGAGGAGCUUGCUCCUCUGACGUUAGCGGCGGACGGGUGAGUAACACGUGGAUAACCUACCUAUAAGACUGGGAUAACUUCGGGAAACCGGAGCUAAUACCGGAUAAUAUAUUGAACCGCAUGGUUCAAUAGUGAAAGACGGUUUUGCUGUCACUUAUAGAUGGAUCCGCGCCGCAUUAGCUAGUUGGUAAGGUAACGGCUUACCAAGGCAACGAUGCGUAGCCGACCUGAGAGAGAGAACCGCCACACUGGAACUGAGACACGGUCCAGACUCCUACGGGAGGCAGCAGUAGGGAAUCUUCCGCGAUGGGCGAAAGCCUGACGGAGCAACGCCGCGUGAGUGAUGAAGGUCUUCGGAUCGUAAAACUCUGUUAUUAGGAAAGAACAAAUGUGUAAGUAACUAUGCACGUCUUGACGGUACCUAAUCAGAAAGCCACGGCUAACUACGUG